UGCCGGGGGUCCCCUGAGCACCAACAGCACCAGGGAGGCCGGGAUCUCCCGGAGGCCCGGGCUCGCCUUGGGCCCCGUCUCGGCCAUCCUUGCUCACGCCGGGCACGCCCUGCGGUCCUGGAGACGAGUCGGAGCAGGAAGAAGGCCGUUCGUCGCCCAAGCACGCCCCGCGCAGAGUUGGAAGCAAAGCCGACAGCGGCCGGCACACGUACCUUGGAGCCCCUGGUCUCCGUCAGGCCCGUCCAGACCCGCACCCGUCGAGCCUUUGUCUCCUCGGUCUCCCUGGGUCCCUGUGGGAAAGCAGUGGAUGUGAGCCCCAGGUGCGUGACCCACAUUCUGACGCCCACUUUGCAGGCUUUUCCCCAAAGUGACACACUCAGGAAAACAGCCCAAGCAUCACAACCAGUCAAGGUGGUUGACGCUCGAAUGCAUCUCGGUUUGGGGACCAAGGGCACUGGCACGGGGCGGGGCAGGACUCCGGGCCACCCGCAGGGAACCUCGGGGGUUCCAUCGGUGCGGAGGGACGGCACGGCGUCUGGGAGGGGGGAGGAGGUGUGUGCGUCCGUCUCCGGGGCUCAGGUGGUUCGGGCGUGAGGAUAUGGGAAAUGGCGCUGCUAACUUUGGAAUACUUUACGCUUCACAGAUGAAGAAAGGGAUUUACAGAUUUGUUUCCCUUGGAAGUAUUUUUCUUAGGCUACUUUUCAGAAACAAAAUUAUUGGAUCGGUAAGUUGGAAUGGACUGGAAUCAUGAGCGUGAUCUCCCUCGUUUGGGCCGUGAGGCUCGCUGGCGGGGCCAGCCGGCCAUGGUGGCACAGCUUAGAGUUUGGAAAUGGGGUGAGUGUUCGAGGCCGUUUUGGAAAAGGUUAGUGCCCGCCCACUCACACACACGUGAGGCUCCGAUCAUGGGCACCGAGCACCCCGCCGCCAGCACAGGCCGGCCCCGGGGCCCAUGGGGGGCGCGUCUGUGACUUGAGCUGGUUCCUAAAUUACAUCUAGUGCAUCGUCGACCUUUAAAAGGGAGCUCCGUACGGCUUUUGCCUUUUGCCACAGAAACGUUCACAUGUGUCGGUUUUUACGAAGGCACAUCCUAUGGUGUAUAAAGGGGCUUCUGUGUGCUUCUCACGUUUGUCUGUCCUUCCCCCCAGAUGUUCUGAUGGUAUUUGAGAAAAACAUCACAUUAAAAAAACGUUGCAGUGCUCGUGGGAGAGAGAAGGAAUGCGGGGGCCACUCACCUCUGGGCCCAGGGUCUCCCAGCUCUCCGGUGGGACCACGAUAUCCAGGGGGCCCUCGUGCACCGGGGUGGCCGAUGGAGCCGGGGGGCCCCGGGGGACCUGGGGGUCCGGCUGGACCAGGCCGGCCCGCGGAUCCCGGCGCCAAAGGCUUCCUCAGGUGAGCUGCUAACUGUGCAAUUUGUUCUUUUGAAAAACAAAGGGGCACACGUUUAUUCAAAGCGGAUUAGCGGAAGUGUUCUAUGCCACGGCUGACACGUCAGGGCUGCCCGCCUUCCAGAAGGAAGUCUCACAGAUUGAAAGUGGCCCAAACUUGGUGUCAGGGCACGAAACUCUAGUGCUGCCAGAGCACCGAGCAGUGAGUCGAGGCCCAGAAGGAGGCGCUCCCUUUGCGCGAGCUCCUCAAAAGCCCUGUGAAUCAAAGCGGCCAAAAGAUGCCACUCAGUUCGGAAGGGCUGAAAGGGCCCAGUCCCCGUCCCUCAUGACUGAUUCUUUGAGCAGACGUUUAGAGCGCCUGGCCCAGUAUUAAAUCCCGGGGGAGGGAGCCCCCACCUGGUGCAGAUGGACAGAGCAGACCCCCAAGGACCCCAGGCAGCUGGGCAGGGAAGGGGGUGGGAGGGCACUCACCACUGAGCAUCGCCCCACACAGCUCCCGGAUGUGCUGCUCGCUGGCCUCUCGCCCCUGAAACGCACCCCAUAAGCUGGUCAGUGGACAGGGGGGCAGGCCGGCACCUCCAGGGGCACCCCGCCAUCACUCUCGGGAAGGUGACCCCCGCCCCCGGACGCCGACCUCAACACAGGGAAAGAAGCACGUACCGGGACUCCGGGCUUCCCAGUGAUGCCAGGCACGCCUUGGACGCCCUGGAAACCCACGGGGCCGGGCGGGCCUGGGACACCAUCCACGCCGCUGGUGCCGUUGGGGCCCGGGAUGCCCUUCGGGCCCAGCUCCCCUCGACUGCCGGACUAGGGGAGAAUGGGACCAGUGCCCAGAAGCCCCGCCACGCACGCUCCUCCCUCUUGCCCCGCUUCCGGGCAGAGCCAGCUUCGCGACCUGCAAGCCUGUGUCUCCUUUGGGCUUUGCUGUCGGGACGGCUGCCAGCCACUUACCUCUCCUUUGGGACCGACGGGACCACCGGGACCCUGCGAGAGAGGAGCCGUUGCGUGUGUUGCUAGGCAGGCGGGCGUUUGCUUCCAGAGAACCAGGCCAGCAUGUUACUGGUCAGGGAUGGCCUCGAACAGCCGGGAAACUACAACUUGACCGCUUCAGGAUCUCUUGAAGGCCGUCAGAACCUGCAGUGCCCUGGGAACGACACGCCCCAACGUUAAACCACGUUCUCAAGCUUCGGGAGCUGGUUCGCGAGACCCCGGACCAGGGGGACGCAGGCUGACGUCCCUUAUUGACCUGACACGAGGCUUUCUUGCCGAGCAGAAUCCUCAACCAAUAUAAAAAGGACCUGGGGCCACCUGGAGGUCACAGGCCCAGCUCCCUAGCCUUUCCAGAGAGGACAAAUUUUUGACCUACAAACAGGCCUGGAGCCCAGAUGCCGCCCUUGACGAGCUCACAUUCCCAGAAGGUCUGCAGGAACACCCCCUCCCCCGGGAGCCCCAGGAGCCGAGCCGGGGGCUCCAGUUGGGCUGGGUGUCCAGAGCGGUCACCUCCACUCAGAGGGAGCAAGGAGAAGCCAGUCAUGAAGACAGCGGGAGGGAGAGAGGAGCUCCAGCCUGCAUCGACGGGACCAGCGGGCACCCACUCACCUGGUCUCCCUUCGGGCCUGCGGCUCCUCCGGGGCCCUGGCAGAGAGAAGGCUCGGCCUUAGAGGAAGCCCAGGGCCCCCGGGGGGGUGGAGCCCAGGGGCCCGGGCGCGUCCCCCAAGUGUCUUCGGGACGCCAGAGCAUCGCAGCACGCAGGGUGCCGUGGGCGCUUAACGGGCCUCUUUGGGUUGGGUGUUGCUUGUACCACCAGUGACCGUGCGGGCAGCUGGCACCUGUAACCCUCGGGUGGCGUCCCGAGUGGGACCGGAUGUGUCUGGGGAGGUGCAGGCUGGGGUCGCCCCGAGAACAGAGAACAUUAAAAUAACAAUUGUCUGUCUGC